GACGAACGCUGGCGGCGCGCCUAACACAUGCAAGUCGAACGAGCGAGAGAGAGCUUGCUUUCUUGAGCGAGUGGCGAACGGGUGAGUAACGCGUGAGGAACCUGCCUCAAAGAGGGGGACAACAGUUGGAAACGACUGCUAAUACCGCAUAAGCCCACGACCCGGCAUCGGGUUGAGGGAAAAGGAGCAAUCCGCUUUGGGAUGGCCUCGCGUCCGAUUAGCUAGUUGGUGAGGUAACGGCCCACCAAGGCGACGAUCGGUAGCCGGACUGAGAGGUUGAACGGCCACAUUGGGACUGAGACACGGCCCAGACUCCUACGGGAGGCAGCAGUGGGGAAUAUUGCACAAUGGGGGAAACCCUGAUGCAGCGACGCCGCGUGGAGGAAGAAGGUCUUCGGAUUGUAAACUCCUGUUGUUGAGGAAGAUAAUGACGGUACUCAACAAGGAAGUGACGGCUAACUACGUG
rnacentral:rRNA from 1 species